ACAGAUCUUCAUGUACCCAUGCUGAUCUUGACCUCAUUAUAUGGUCAAAGAAAAUCCUGACUUUUGACUCCCCUUCCUCCACUUCCUUGCUUGAGACCUGGAGUUACAGUUUUACUAUGUAACCGGCAAGCCUGAAACUCAGAAGUCGGCCUGCCUCUGCCUCCUGAGCGCUAGUACUAAACUAGGCCUAAGAACUUGCCCUCUAUUUAAGAAAGAACCAGGUGAUGCCUACCAAGCCAGUUUGGAACCUGCACUCUAUUUAACAAGGACCAGGCCAGGCAAUGCCUACCAAGCCAAUUUGGAGAAUGCUCACAGCCUAGGAACUCCUACUGGGCAACUAUGGCCUAGGGAGCACACUGGAGGCCCAGAGCACGGGGAAACUCCAGCGGCCCCGCCCUCCCGCCCCGCCUCCCUGCGUGCUCCCUGCACGGUUGCCCGGGCAGCACGGGACGCGGCCCAGACAGACGCUGUGGACACUCUUCUUCCCAAAAGGCUUCCUGGGGUCCCCAGCUUCGCCCCACGUCCCCAGGUCCCCAGCGCUAUGUUCCGGGGGAAGCGCGGGAGCCGGGUGGGCGCCCUGGAGGAGAAGACUCCCUUCGCGUCCCCGCAGCUCCCAGAGGCGGUGUCUGAGCGGGUUCUGCUUCGGGGCAUCUUCGAGAUCCAGAGGGAAAGCUGUGAUGUGGUGCUGGGCCAGAAAACCCUGCGGUGGUGGCGCAUCCAGCCAGAGCUCCCAGCGGGAGGUUCCAAGUGUCACCCGCCAGGCAGAGAAGAGUCCAUAGAACUGGAAGGCAUAUUUUCCGUGAAGCUGAAGCGGCGCUGCUCUGUGAAGCAGUCGGGCCAAGGCACGCUCCUGGGUAUCACCCUUUUCAUCUGCAUGAAGGAGCAGCCAAACAAGCUAAAGGAUUCUACGCUUGAUCUUAUCAACUUGAGUGAAGACCACUGCGACAUAUGGUUCAGAGAGUUCAAGAAAAUUCUGGAAGGUUUCCCAAGCAGGCCUAAGGCGCUAAAGAUCCUCCUCAACCCUCAGAGUCACAGGAAGGAGUCUGUCCAAGUCUACUACGAGAAGGUGGAGCCUCUGCUGAAACUCGCGGGGAUAAAGACAGAUGUGACAAUAACAGAAUAUGAAGGGCAUGCCCUGUCCCUGCUUGACGGAUGUGAACUCCAGGGAUUUGAUGGCAUUGUCUGUGUUGGUGGAGAUGGAUCUGCUAGUGAAGCCGCCCAUGCCCUGCUCCUCAGAGCUCAGAAGGAUGCUGGUGUAGAGAUGGACCACCUCCUGACUCCCACGAGAGCUCAGCUUCCACUUGGCCUAAUACCAGCAGGAUCUACGAAUGUAUUGGCACAUUCUCUUUGUGGAAUUCCUCACGUGGUGACUUCGACUAUGCACAUUAUCAUGGGUCACAUACAGUCAGUAGACGUGUGCAGCUUCAGCUCUGCUGGCAAGCUUCUUCGCUUUGGGUUCUCAGCCAUGUUCGGCUUUGGUGGAAGGACUUUGGCUCUGGCAGAGAAAUACCGGUGGAUGUCCCCUAGUCAGCGGAGAGACUUUGCUGUACUCAAAGCCUUGGCCAAACUUCAGCCAGAGGAUUGCAAAAUAUCAUUUUUACCAGCUGGAUGCUCUCGGGAUGAACAAGAAAGAGAUGCUCAGCAAUCUCCAGGGUCUGAAAGUGCUGGUCAAUGGCAAACCAUCCAAGGGCAGUUCUUGAACAUCAGCAUCAUGGCAAUCCCCUGUCUGUGUUCAGUGGCACCCAGGGGCUUUGCCCCCAACACCAGGUUAAACAAUGGAAGCAUGGCUCUCAUAGUUGUACGGAACACCACUCGACAAGAAUUUGUAAAGCACCUGAAAAGGUACUCCAGCAUAAAGAAUCAGUUCAACUUUCCUUUUGUGGAGACUUACACCAUUGAGGAAGUGAAAAUUCUCCCAAAGAGUCAUAGCAGUGGACACAAUCAGCAGGAGGAGGGUGGGGACCAAGCAACUCUUCCAGAAAACACUUUUCCUUGGAAUGUAGAUGGUGACUUAAUGGAAGCUGCCUCCGAGGUCCACAUUAGACUGCACCCAAGACUGAUCAGGCUUUAUGGAGGAGGCCUGGAAGAAACGAAUGAUUCCAAAGUAGCGUGUAAUUGCAUAUAGAAAAAAUUUAUAUGAAGUAUAAAUAUAUUAUGAAGGAAUUUGGUAUGCAAUAUAUACACAAAUAGGAAAUGAAUUUUUGAAUGAAAAUGUCUAAAACAUCUAUUUUAAUGUAAUUAAAAAUAGUAUGUUUGAAAAUCAAGAUAAAAAUAUGAAAUCGAUGAAUAAUCAAACUCUGAUAUUUGGAAGGCAUUUGUUGGAUCUAAUAUAAACAUCCUGCUAUAUCAAUAUUAUUGAAGAUAAUUCUUGUUAUUAAUUUUAAUGAUUUCCUAUAGCCUGAUAAAAUACAGGUUUUAUAAAAUUUCCAACUCCACAGGGAGCUAGUAAUAUAACCAUGAACAGCCACUUAAUUAAAAAAAAAGCUUUUUCCACUUAGGCUAUUGUCCCCCAACCCAAGUCCAUAAUGGCAUCUUUGGAAGUAACAAGACGUUUAAGCUGAUUAUACAGGUAAAAUUCUAAGUUUACAAUAAGUUUUAUUUAAAAAUAUACAUAAAGUAUCUUUCUAACUGGGCAGAAACUUGGCCCAGGAGGUAGCUGUGUUCCUUUGUACCUGACAGGCGGGGUGGAGCAGUUACAGCACUCAGUUUUCAGUGUAAUGAUCCAAAUUUUCAUUUCCUCAGAGACCAUCCCUUAAAAAAUAGGUCUAAACUGAUACUGAUUUUCAUGGAUUAAAACUGACACCUUCAUGAGAUAACUACUUGUAUUUGCAUGAGAAAAUCAUAAAUAUGCCUUUUUUAUAAAAAAUUCUUUACAAAUACAAACAAUUAAAUGUUUUUUUGUGCAUGCGCACCGGGAGUUGAUGUUUUGUACUCAAGUUUCAUAGCUCCCAAACCCCAGCACACACUUGUUUUUCAGCCACAGACCGCGGGCCCGUGAGCAGGCAACUGUUAUGAAUUGGGAAACGCCGAGGAAGGGCCAGCUGGCGGCAGGGGUUUCCUGUAAAGCAAUCUUUCUUCUUAACAGCGAAGGCUGCCACUUUUAUCCUACCCAUGUUCAAAAUCUGACUGUAGCUUUCUUAUGCAUAAUAGAUCCAGAUGAGAAAUAUUUAUCAGACCAUGUGUAUGGGAUAAACAGUACAAAAAUGGUUAUGUAAAAACCCUGGUAGAAGACAUUUCACUUUUGCAUAGCAUCAAAUGUACAUAUCUCAUGGGAACAUUGAUCACAUCCCGUCUCUGUGUAUAAGCUUCACCAGUGACUUGCUGUUCUGUCUGUGCUUCUCCGUCUCUAUAGCAUUGCUUUUUACAGCCCUGGUUACUGCGUGUUUCAACAGAACAAGGGAAACAACAACGUCAUGACAGGCUCAUGUCCCAAAGAGAUAAUGUAAAACAGUUUAUCAAGAUGGAAGAACCAGGUUUUCUGAUUGUGUAUGACAACCUAAGUGUCACCUCUGGGCUGCAGUCCUGACGAAAUGUACUAUCCAAGGUCCUCUCAGCAAGUGCAUACAGAAAUCACAGCAUCAAGUGGGGCUGAAGUGAACAGGAGUGUCCAUCUUCACAACACUCCUUAGGAUAAAGGGUUCGGAUUUAAGACUCACAAUAGAGGUCAGACAAAGGGAACAUCUUUUUACCUGGACGUCCAAAACGUUGAACAACUUAUCUGUUUGAGGGAGGAAAGAAUUGGGUACCAUUAUUUCCACACUAACAUUUGGAGCCAUGCUAAUGCCGGUGUUUAUAACCUGAAAAAGAAAAGAAUUUAAAAGUUUUUCAUAAUUAUAAAUGCAGAGUUACUAGCCAAAGUGGAGGAUAUAUGAUUGGCAGAUAAACACAAGAGCAGGCAGAAUAUCCAUAGCCAUAAUUUUUCCAGUUUUAUCAGUUCAGAUAGCCCCUCCAAUCUACCUAUCCCUGCUUUUCACUUUACCGUCGUAUCUGGUAACCAAGCAGUGACACUUUCACGAUGUAAUCCAAGACUUGCAUUUUGUACACCGCUAUACUGCUCAGACAGUGCUUUUGAUUAAGACAAACAUUUCUGUAGACACUACCUCUUAACAUCUGUGACCAGCCAAACUUUCUGCUUAACAGCUAAAUUUUCAAAACUGAGUUUCAUAUUAGUAUAAUACUUCUAUAUGAUAACAUUUUUUGAACAAAAAAGAAAAGAAGAAGAUUAUUCAAUACUGAUGAAGCUUAUCCUAAUCCUGAAGCCUGGACGGCAGGCUAAGCACAUUGAUCCUGGAGAAGGUAAGGCAAAUGCUCCCAUUCCUUGAUAAUGUUGGGCUGCUUAAAGAGCCUGAAGCAACUAUAGAUUUCCUGAUUUACUCACAAUCAUAUUUCCCCUCGAAUGUAACUUCAGAAGGGUCAGGAGACCCUAACCUCCCCCUGUUCCAGGAGUACACAUAUCUUAGAAAAUUUGUAACAAGCAAAGUGAGAAAAGCAACAUUAGCCUAAGAGGAAGGGGCCUGAGUCACAGAACAGCAGCCCUGCAGCCAGCCAGUAACUGAAGCUGAGGGAUAGCGGGGACAGGAAUUCCUCCGAGCAAGGCUUACGGCCAAUCCUUUCUUCCUUCCCAUAUGCUACAAACAUCAACAAAACCCAGCUUUGCUUACAUGAAAGGUGAAGUUCAGCUUCUCCGUCAUGCAUGAUUCUGGCUCAUUUUCUUCACUUGAUCCAUAGACAAAUGAAGUUGGGUUCACGAACCUGCCGGGAACAAGGUCAGCUUGAACGUAUUGUCAAUGCAUGAGGGGCCAUAUAGUCCGGCUUUAGAGUUGGAAU